GUUGUAAUGCAGCCAUCGGCGGUCACAAGCCCGCGUAAAAAUGCAGAGUGCAAC
rnacentral:ribozyme from 2 species